CUGGCGGCGCGCCUAACACAUGCAAGUCGAACGGAGCUUAGAGAGCUUGCUUUUAAGCUUAGUGGCGAACGGGUGAGUAACGCGUGAGUAACCUGCCCUAGAGUGGGGGGACAACAGUUGGAAACGACUGCUAAUACCGCAUAAGCCCACGGUACCGCAUGGUACUGAGGGAAAAGGAUUUAUUCGCUUUAGGAUGGACUCGCGUCCAAUUAGCUAGUUGGUGAGGUAAUGGCCCACCAAGGCGACGAUUGGUAGCCGGACUGAGAGGUUGAACGGCCACAUUGGGACUGAGACACGGCCCAGACUCCUACGGGAGGCAGCAGUGGGGGAUAUUGCACAAUGGGGGAAACCCUGAUGCAGCGACGCCGCGUGAGUGAAGAAGUAUUUCGGUAUGUAAAGCUCUAUCAGCAGGGAAGAAAGUGACGGUACCUGAAUAAGAAGCCCCGGCUAACUACGUG
rnacentral:rRNA from 1 species